UGGUUCGUGUAGGUGUAAGAGCCCUGUGGU
rnacentral:piRNA from 1 species